CAAAUCUCUGGUAUUGAUCACGAGUUGUGACAAAUCGGUCACCUUGAUAGCUGCUAAAACUGAAGGAGAAAAAAGAGACUAACAUAGCCAAGAAUAUAGGUAACCAAUAUUGCCUUUGUGGGUGCAUUUUGACGUUUAAUUGCGUUCCAACUUUUUGAGAACGCAAGGGCAAAAUUAAAACUGUCAAAAAGAUUUGCUAAAGUUGUUAUAGAAAUUUAAGGUAUGCUGUGUGAAAUGAAUGUGUGUAUGUAUUUAUAGCAAGAAAAGUGAUGUUGAUUUUUGGGAAAACAGAGAGAAGGGGGUUUGUGGAAGAAGCAAUGACUACGACUGCUUUGAAAAUUUUGUCUCAUGAGAGAGGUAUGGACUGAGAUUCAAGAGACUGAGACGAAAGAAAAAUCAUGGCUUCAUUUUUUUGCUCUCCAAAAGAAAACCAAAGCUUAGUAAUUUUGUGAUUGACAUUUUAUCUUAAAAAUAACGUUAGGUAAGAAUUAGGAAUGAAUAUAAGGCAGCAAGAAUUUUAAUUUGACUUACCGUUGGUGCGUCGUUGCACGGCUGCGGAAACAUGAGAAGAAAAUUAACAAAAUUAAUAAAAUUAUAUUAUGAAUUAAAAAAAAAGGAGUAGUAUAUAUGGAAUUAAUUAUAUAUAAUUCAAUAUACGAAUAAACGUACGAGGGAUUUGUUGACUUUGCAAGAUUUUCUCCACCAAACUUUUCCAUUGCCGUCGAUUGUGCCACCACCUUCGACUCUGAAAUUGUUGACAUUUUCGAACACAAGCCAAUGCCUUGGAUCUCUGCUAUAGUCUGAUAAACGAACAGAUGCUUUGAUUGUUCCAUAAAUCUGUCGCGUUAAAACAACGUUGCAUUAAUUGUUCAAAUCAGAAAUUGUCCCGUAUCGUUCAUAAAUAGUGUGUUAUCGGCCCCAUGCAUGCACAUUCGUAAACUCACCUUCAUUGUAAGAUCAGAUUUGCAGGGACCUGAGAAUGUAAUUGGCUUAAGAUGAUAGAUUUUGUUGUUGGGGACGACUAAAACAGCUUCAUUUUCAGAAGAACAAGCCUCCUCCCAAGCUUCCAUAAAUGCCUGAACAAAAUUGCCCAAAUUAAUUACUAUGUACUUCUAACUGAAAAAUAACGGAUAUCUAUGUUUUCUAUUUGUAACAGCUGCUAUUGUAUGUACCUUAGAGUCAUCAGUUCCAUCAGCUUUCGCUUCAAAAUCGUCCACAUUCACAAACUUUGUUGGAGAAGCAGGAGCACUUGCACGACCGUACAGCCUCGUCAAAGUCGUUUCAGACUCCGAAUCGACCCCGAUUGGGCUCCCAAAUCUCUGGUAUUGAUCACGAGUUGUGACAAAUCGGUCACCUUGAUAGCUGCUAAAACUGAAGGAGAAAAAAGAGACUAACAUAGCCAAGAAUAUAGGUAACCAAUAUUGCCUUUGUGGGUGCAUUUUGACGUUUAAUUGCGUUCCAACUUUUUGAGAACGCAAGGGCAAAAUUAAAACUGUCAAAAAGAUUUGCUA
rnacentral:lncRNA from 1 species